UAAUUGAUAAAGUGCUCUACUAGGAUAAUGCGGGGAAAAGGUCGGGAUAGCUCAGUUGGUAGAGCAGAGGACUGAAAAUCCUCGU
rnacentral:tRNA from 1 species